ensembl:lncRNA
UUUAUUUAAAAUAGAAAUCUUUUCUAACAAUAUACACUACCGUUCAAAAGUUUGGGGACAGUACAUUUUUAUUCUAUCUUUUUUUAUUCAGCAAGGAUGUGUUAAAUUGAUAAGAAGUGAUAGCAAAUAUUUAAAUUGUUAGGAAAUAUUUAUAUUUUGAAUAAAUGUUGUUCUUUUGAACUUUUUAUUCAUCAAAGAAUCCUGAAAAAAGUAUUGCAGUUUCCAAAAAAAUAAAUAAAUAAAUAAAUAAAUUUGGCAGCACAACUGUUGCAAACAUUGAUAAUCCUAAUAAUAAAUCAGCAUAUUAGAAUGAUUUCUGAAGGACCAUGUGACACUUUAUACUGGAGUAAUGGCUGAUGGAAACUCAGCUUUGCAUCACAGAAAUAAAUUCUAUUUUAAAGGAUAUUAAAAUAGAAAAAAAAAAUUUAUAUUGUAAUAACAUUUUGCAAGAUUACUGUUUUUUAUCAAAUAAAUGCAGCCUUCAUGAGCAUAAGAGACUUCUUUAAAAAACAUUACAAGUCUUAUUGAUCGCAAAACUUUUGAAUGGCAGUGUAUUUGUAAAAGCUGCAUUAUUUGGAAAUGACUUUGUUACAGUUACAACUAAAAUUUUGGCCCGUUCCUCAGACAAACCUGUAGAUUGAAUACAAUUAAAAUUGCAUCAUAUUGGACAAACUACUCCUUUAAGACAUUUGCGUGUAAUCUGCAUGAAUAAAACUAACUACAAAUACAAGCAAGUGACUUUUUCUUUAGGACAUAUGUGCAAUAUGUUUGCGUAGGAAUUUAGUGUUGUCUUCAGAGGUGUUUUUAUUAGAGCAAAAUACUAGUUUUUUUCCAAGGGAAAACAAGUGGGCUGGCUGCUAAAAGAGAAAGUGCAAAGAAAGAAAGCAAAAGUAAGCAGCGUGUAUAUAUUCAGAAAGCAGAUGCAAGGCAGUGAGCAUUAAAAGCCAAGUGUGGAACUGCUGACAAGACAUGGACACUGUAUCCAGCAAUUUCACUGCUCUGGUGGAGAAGGUCUACUCAUUCUUCUGGGGGGACAAGCAGCAGUUCAACAGCCAAUCAGAAUCAGACAGAGCCAUCAGAGAGCUGUAAUGAAAGUGACAUCCCAGUCACAAAACCUGCUGAAACAUGGGUGUCUGAGGUCCAGGAGGUUAGCAGUCCUGUACAAACCACUGUAAAUGCACAUUCAGGUCAUUAUGAUCAUCCACACAUCCCGCUUCAGUACUCAAACUCAUUCAGUGAUGCUGAUGAAACUGCUGAAGUGGACAAGAUCAACAUCAUUGUGAAAUGUGCUGGGAAAACCACGGAAGUGGACAUGUUUCCCAGGGAAAGCAUCUCAGUUUUACUAAAGGAGGCCUGUGACCGGGCAGGGAAGAAACCAGAGAAAAUGGCACUGGUUUAUGAAGGAAACUGUCUGGAUGUGAACAAGACAGUGAGCUGCUAUGGACUACGAGGAGGAACCACCGUACAUUUGAUUCAUGCCUAGAACUCAUGUUUCUGUUUACAGUAUACCAGUACACUACUGUACAUAAAAUAUUGUUCAAACUCAACUGUAUUAGUAGUAGUUGUAGUAGUAGUAGUAGUAGUAGUAGUCAGUGCUCAUGGGUUAUUGUUGAAAGUAUUGCAUUGCUGUGUACAGUCUCAAAUACAUUGUAAUAUAUAAAAAAUAAAACUGACUUGCAACACUGACUCACAUAUAUGAGUUCAAUCAGACAGUAUUUUUUACUUAUAUUGGGACACUUUAUGGCUGAUAACAUAUUGAUUAUGUAAAGCCUAUCAAUGUCAAGCAAUACAUUUCUCUACUUAAUCAUCCAGGUAACAGAAAUUUAUUAACAACUCAUCAAAAGUUCUAAAACACAAAUAGGCUUAGGUGGUAGCAAGUUGAUACCAUAAGGGUUCAACAACCCCCAAUAUCUCACGUGUAAAUGUGCAAUACUUUACACCAGACCAAAACAGUAAUUCAAAACAGUGACACAGGCCAGCUCCUAAAACAGAGCCAGAAAGACACCCUCCUUAUUGUGCUAAAACAUUCAAAAUAAUUUUUUUAAAAAAAACACCAUACAUCAAAUAACAUGAAUACAAAAAAAUACACAUUCCAAUACAGCACAAUAUAAAACAAACAUACACUUCAACCAUAUAUAUCACAUACCUAGUACCAGCUAGACAAGAGUUUUCCAACUCUGGCACAAACCAUCAUUGCCAUCUGCACAAAACAUUUAAAUGCACAUGAUUAUACACAAUAUCACACUUUUAAAAAGUAUUACAUCCAACAUUGUCACAUACCUAACAACAGCUACGACAACUGUUUUCCCAAGCUGGCACAAACCAUCAUUGCAGUCUCCAAGCAAGAAAUCACCACCACUCAUCUGGCAAUCAGCAUGCACCUGCCAUUACUCCAAAGCUAAUGCCAUCCCAUUCAUAAAGGACACGUAGGCUAGAAACUACCGUACUCACCCUACCAAACAGGACUACCAUAAAUACUAUAGUGUUUGUAGCCAUUACAUUCACCGCCCCCACCACUGAUCAUCGUCCCGAUGAUCUUAUAAUUUCCUUUAUUAACCACCUACUUAAAACUACAAUCCCCACACUUUUCCAUAUUAUGUCAAAAGCCCAGUGUCCUUUAUAAACAAUGGUCUACUCUAAAACCCCACUAUCUUGUAUACUAGACACAACAGAUCUGGGUAGAUUAAAUGGGUUAGAAUGCCUCCCUGCUGUUGGCCUACUAGACUGCCGCAAUUGAACUGGUGGUACUUGAGUGACUUCAAACAUUCGAGAUUCUUCUGAACCAACUUGCUCCACUGAAUCAACAUCUGAUUCACUACAUAACUCUGGUCCUGAUUGAUUUCCCACCCUCAGCAAGGAUUCAGUUGGGGCCUCUUCCCUAACAACCCAUGCUUCAUCCGAAUCACUAUCAGAGACUACCUCACUAUAACUCUGAACAUCCUGAUGAACCGCCCCUACUACCCCUGGACCACACGGCCUCAAUUCUGUUCUAUGAACAUUCUUUGGUGGGCAAGAUUCAUCCACAGGAGCAACUGUAAACACCGCUUUAGUGUCAUCUGGCUGAGCUAUCACUUUGAAGGGCGUAGGCAUCCACAAAUCCUGAAUCUUAUGCCUUCCUAAAAAAAUUGUGGUUCCUACGAUAAACCAAUUGACCCACCUGCAAAGAACUCUGUAGUGAAGGAGGACCAAUAUAUCUAUUCCUAACUUCAGCAGCAUAUUCCAUCUGCCCCCCUUGCUUUUUGAUAAGCCUCUUUAAAUCGCUCCUGAUGCCCCACCACCCACUCAUCAACCGUCUCUAUAAAAUCUGACUGACUUACCCCAAACAAAAUGUCAACUGGUAACUUUGGCGACUGUCCAAAAACCAAAAAAUAUGGGCUAUAACCAGUACUUGCAUGUUCUGUUGUAUUAUAAGCAAAAACAACCUCUGGUAAAUAUUCAACCCAUCUUCUUUUCUUCAAUGGUGAGAGAGUUCUUAAAUUAUGCAGGGUUCGAUUGAACCUCUCGCAUUGACCAUUGCCCUGAGGAUGAUAGGGGAUAGUUCGACUCUGCUUAAUCCCAUACAUUUUACACAAGUUUCGGACAACCUCUGCCUCAAAACAUCUCCCCUGAUCCCAAUGAAUUCGUUGGGGGACCCCAUACUUGUGAAUCCACUCCCUAACAAGGGAUUUUGUCACGGUCACUGCCUUUUGGUCCCGGGUAGGUACCGCAACCACAAAUUUUGAAAACACAUCAGUGAAAAUCAAGACAUUCUCCUUACCAUCACUAGAAGGUUCUAGAACAGUGAAAUCCAUAGCUACCACUUCAAAGGGUCUUCUAGCUAACAAACUACCUGUUUCGGUUACUUACUUUGGCACUGGGGCUUUUGCCACAAUACAUCGCUCGCAUUGCUUACAAUAAGUUUCAAUAUCUUGAAACAUUCCUGGCCAAUAACAUCUAGCUCUGACCAGCUUAAAAGUGCGUUCUACACCCUGAUGCCCAUGUUCGUCAUGUAACCCACGAAGGACUUCCUCCUUCAGACUCUGGGGUAGGAGCACCUGUUUAAUCUGGCCUUGUUUAGUAUCCACAAAUUGGCGAUACAAGACUCCUUCCUCCUCUACCAACUUCUCCCAUUGCUGAAAAAGUUCCAAGACCUUAACAUCCUCUUUAGCCCUCGCUAAUCUACCAGGUUUUACUUUCUGACUCCAAUACACAUGAAACCUUGCAAUAAUGGGGUCGGCCUGCUGUUGAGCUGCCCAAACUGCGUGUGAAAACACAGGGAAGCUACAUGUGGUUGUCUGCUCAUUAACCAUCAUUGUAUGACCCUUCUCUGGAGUUUGAUUAAAAAUACUCCCCUCAAAUGCAGGUUUAGCUAUUAACUGGUUUUUGUCGUGACAAUGCAUCCGCCCCCACAUUUUGACGCCCUGGCCUAUAAUGAAUUUCAAAAUCAAAUCUAGCCAGCUCUGAAACCCACCUCUGCUCAAUGGCACCAAACUUGGCAGUCUGCAGAUGGCUCAACGGAUUAUUAUCCGUAAACACUAUAAAUUUGUGACCUAACAAAUAGUCACGAAACUUAUCUGUGACUGCCCAUUUUAAUGCCAACAGCUCUAGCUUCAUGGCACUAUAAUUCUCCAUGUUCCGCUCGGAUGGCCUUAACCCACGACUUGCAUAUGCAAUCGGUCUUCUUCCAUAUUUCCCUUCUUGGGACAAUAUUGCUCCCAACCCAUGAUGGCUAGCAUCAAUUUCCAAAAAAAGAAGGGCUUUGUAAAAUAUGCAUAGCCAAGUACCGG